rnacentral:rRNA from 1 species
GACGAACCGUGCGAACGUUGUUCGGAUUCACUGGGCAUAAAGGGCGCGUAGGCGGAUGGUCAAGUCGGGGGGUGAAAUCUUUCAGCUUAACUGGAAAAGUGCCUCCGAUACUGAUCGUCUCGAGGGAGGUAGGGGCAUGUGGAACUUCCGGUGGAGCGGUGAAAUGCGUAGAUAUCGGAAGGAACGCCGGUGGCGAAAGCGACGUGCUGGACCUCUUCUGACGCUGAGGCGCGAAAGCUAGGGGAGCAAACGGG